CUUUAUCCAACACCCUGGCUUGGCCCACAUUUCCCUGCCCUCUCCUAUUGCUAUUGUGUCAUUAACAAAACUCCCCGACCCUUGCAAAGCCCCUACAGCAGAACCGUCCCAUGAGAAAAGCAGUGGAUUUAAUAAGCUUCCCUUUAAAUGGCCCCAAAUCCCUUCCAGUGAUUAAGGGGGGAAAAUGGCUACACACAGGGCAGAGUCUCCUGGUGCAGGAGGUGAGAGAGCGAAAGAAGAAAGAAAGUUCCCAAGAUCCCGGGCCUCAGGGACCAAAUUAAAAAAGCAGCACCGCUUAUUCAAAAUCAGAUGAAUGUCAGUGGGACGUUUGUCAAACAAACUUGUCAUUAUUUGUCACAAUUUGAGGAAGUAUCAGUCAGUAGUCACACUUGAGCAUGCAACAGAGUUAUUUAUAGCUGCCAGCCUACAGUUUUAACUAAUGCAGGGCCAAGGUUCCAUGUUAUAAACAGCUUUAUUUAUAAUGAUUGUGUGGCUAUAAAUAGUUUGGUUCACUGCGUGUAGCAGAAUAGCUCAGUGCUGUGCUGCCAGAGCUGGAGCCAGGAGGAAUGUGCAAGCGGGGAGGUGAAGCCUGUUUGUCCCUCUUCUUGGUGGACCCUCUCUGGGAGUCCUUGGCCAAGCUGAAGUAUAUUAGGCGGGAUGGAACAAAUCAGAGAGAGCGGCGCCCUGCAAGAAACUGACAUCAUGCUGCCAUCUUGGCAUCCUCUCAGGCAUGCCCUGAGCCCCUGGAAGUGCGCUUGCGCGGUGCCGUGAGAUGUGUCCCGUUUGAACUUUUCCCACUGGCGCUUCAGUGUGGAGAGCCUGCCUCAGUAAGCCAACAAUUACGCCACGUGAGAUGUGUGACACUGAUGUCCAGGACCCAAUGCCACAGGACCUUGAGGAGGACUUCUUGUCUUGAUCUGGGUGCUAGGGAGGGCAUCGUGAAAAAGGGAGUCCCUGGUUGAAUCCUAUGGGAGGUGCCUUAGGGCAGUGACUGUGUCUUUGUGUUUCUAUAUAGACCUCCUGACAUAGCAGACAUAUGGUAAUUAUUUGUAGAGGGAGCAAGCGAAAGUUGACUCUCUUUUGGAAUUUGACUGUCUCUGUGGGAACAUUUAUGCUGUGCCUUUGUAAUGCACAAAUUAAUGAAAAAUGGUUAAAAAAUGAAAAAUUAAAGAAAGGAGAGAUUUCUAGGGUGCACGCACUGAGUGGGAUGAGGAGUCUUUUCUGACUGAUGCACUGGCAUUCCUAAUCAAAAUGGUAAACUCCUUAUCGAAUUAUGGCAAGAAAUCCAAGGCCAAGGUGCAGAGUAGAAAAUGGAACGAUGUGCGUGUUCAGGUGAAUUGAUUUCAGCGGCCUCCCUGUUUAUGUUGGGAAACACCUUCACCUAUUCAUGGGGCUAAGACCUCAUCUGGCAUGGGCUCCAGUUCUGUGCUCACAAAGGAGGUGGCCUUAAAGCCAAAAGGAAUAGGACAAA